rnacentral:lncRNA from 1 species
AAAUCGAUAGAUUUUCCAUAGACAAGUAAUGGGAAAGAGGAGUGAAAAGAGAAGCCUUGAUAAUCACCAAGUACUGUCUGUUACAAAGCCCAUUAUUUGCAUUAUGAAAUUCAUUGGAUUUAAGUGGCAUAUUCAGGGCUAAAAUCCAGAGUUUUGGUCUCCUAAAUAAAAGUGUAUUCCCUGGGAUCAUUUCUCAAAUAUCAGUAUCAGAAUUGGCUAUUUUUGUCUGAUUGGAGCUUUGGUAAACCCAUUUAACUUUUAAAGACACUGUCUAAACUGGUGGUGGUGAUAGUUCUUUAUGUUGCAGCAUAUCAAAAGCAGUUGUUUCUCUUUCAUUGUACAUACUUUUUAUACACUUUGGGAUUCCUGAUGAAAUAGAAGUAUACUUAUGAAUAUUCUCAAAUCUAGCCACUGUUGGAUUUAUAAGGUAAAUGACAGCGAUAUCUUAUUUUAAGCAUAGCAAAACCUUUUUCUGUCCUUCUUACUGGUGUCAGUCAUACAAUGAAAGAUUGUGUGCUAUCUCUUCGGACCUUACGUAUUGAUAGUUUGCAAUUAUGACAACUCUGAAAGAAAGUAGGUGUUUUCUUUGUGAACUGCUUUUCUGACUCAGAAGCAAAUGUAAUCACUAGGAAAAAAUAUAACCUUGACCUUCUUUCAAAAUAUGUAUUUGUAAGGUAAGUAGUUUCAUAUGGUAUGAUAGGGUAAGUGAGUAACUGCCCUUCAUAGUGAGACACAGUCUUAAUAAUUCAAGCUGUUGGUACUUCAGGGAAAGAACACCCACCACUAAGCUGCUCUGCAGACCCCUCUUGAACCAGAGCAGAGAUUUACAGGACCAGCGCUGGUGAUACCAGCUUCCUAGCGAGCACAGAUUUCUCACUGUUUCCCAAGGGCUGCAAUCCACUGUGUCUGUGGGAAAUUGAGUACAAGUAUACAAUGCAGAAAUUCCUUUCUCCUCUGUCAGCAAAGAUUGCAAACUAUGAAAAGCCACAGAAGCUGAGCCAUGAGGGCAUCCUUGGGUGCCCACAGGUUUAGAUAGCCAGUAAACUCACUGAUGAGGAGUUCUCUAUCACUGGAAGAGUUCAAAUAUAUAAUAACAUGGAUGGAUGUCUUAGAAGAGAAGCAAGCAUUGCACAAAUGGCCUUAGAAAAUCUCUCUAGCAUUCCUUCCAUGCCUGACAUUUUUUAAUCAGUGUUUUAUGCUACAUGUUUUCAAUGUUAUGUAAGGGAAACACAUAUCACUAGCAAAAAUGCAUAGAAAUACAGCAAAAGUACCUAAAGCCUUUUAUUGCAUAAAAUUAGUGGUUAAUGUGAAUUUGUAGAAUUAUGUUUAUAAGAAUUCAAUAUGUAAUUUUUAUGAUCAUAAAAUAUUAACAGUAUGGAAAACUAAAUUUAUAGAAAUCUUUUUUAUAUUGCUUUCUCUUUAUUGUUUUGAAGUUAGAUGCUCGUAGUAAGAUGAAUGGUGGUCACCAGAAGAUUUCAAUGUUCUAAUCUCUGGAAAUUGUGAAUAUCUUAUAUUACCUGUGUAGCCAAAACACGGUCUCUGUACGCUGGCACCCGUUAAGUCUCGGAAACAGAGUUUUGGGAGAAGCAGAAUGAACAGCUUUAUUGUUACUGCUUUACCAGACAAAGCAGGCUAACGCCUCAAAACUGUGUCCUCUCUUGAGAGAGGAUAAUAAUUUUUUUAAUAGGUUUAGCUUAGAAAAAGCAGGGGUCUUGGUAAGGAUUAGGGUGCCUGCAUUCUUCUCCGUUUAUAGAUCAUUUCAAAGUCAUGAGGCUGGAGUCAGAAGGUCUGGUGACUUUGAGUAAUUGUACCUUGACCUUCUGCCCACAGUGAAGAUUGCUCACAAAAGGAAGGAGGUGUUAGGGAGUGUUCCAGUUACAAAGGAAAAUACUAGGUGCAAUAUAACUCUAACUAGAAAGUAACCAUUAGUUAAAGAAAGCAAUUAAACAAGGGAGAAAUCAUUUGUGAAAAGCUGGUAGAGUAAAUUUGUGGGCCAAGGCAGGGCAUAACAUCAUGGAGACUGUUUUAACUAGUUUCUAGCUGUAAGGGUAUUUCCUAAUCAUGAACUCUUGGGUCAGCCUUUUGAGACUGAGGGCAGGCCUGUGUUUUACUUCAAAACACAAUGACUCAGGGGCUUCUAUAUGGUUUCACCUGCAAAAGGGAAUUAAGGUAGCAGAUGAAAUUAAGAUUGAUAAUCAGGUAACCUUGAGAUGAAGAGAUUAUCCUGGAUUAUUUGGGUGGUACCAUGUAAUCACUUUGGGGGUUCUUAAAUAUGGAAUAGGCAGGCAAGAGAGUGAUGCAAUGUGAGAAAGUCUCCAACAGCUGUUGUUGGCUUUGAAGAUGAAAUAGGGCAACAAGCUAAAGAAGGUGAAGCAGCCACCAGAAGCUGGGAAAUCAAGAAAACAAAUCUCUUCUAGAGCCUUCACAAAGGAAUUCAGUGUUGCCAAUAUUUGUUUUUAGUUCAGUGAGACCAAAUUGCUGACUUUCCCAGGGACUUCUAGAACCAUGAGAUAAUUGAUUUCUGGUGGGUUAAGCCAUUAAGUUUGUGUUACUUUGUAACAGAAAUUGGAAAUGAGGCACUGCUAAAUAAAAACAACCUGUUGUAUCUUUGGUUGUCUUUUUGGUUGCAGAUAAAAUACAGUUCAAACUAACAUGGGUGGAACCUCAGAAAGAGCAAGGGCUCUUGGGCCUCAGGAAUGACUGGAAUCAUGGAUUCGAACACCACUACCGUGUUGUUCUCUCCGUCUCUGGUCUCUACUCUCUCACUGCUCUGGGUGUUCACGAUCUCAGGUAGCCUUCUCAACACCUAGAAAAGUGGUCACGGGUACAUGCCAGGCAUAAAUAGCUUCAACUCCAAAUAGAAUUUCCAACUGAAAGGAAAAAAAAAAAAUCCCAGAGGAGAGCCCAAUGAGCCUCUAUGGUCCCUUAUCCAGUAAUCUGGUAAAGUAAAUGGGAGUCAUAAUUUAUCAAGGCCUCCAACAGAAGAACAGGGAUAGAGUGGGGUGGUUACCUAAAUGUUUGUAACAACAAGGGGAAAUGUUUAUAACAACAAAGGGAAAUGGUGCAUGUAGGUAAAAAGUGAAUCUAUAACACAGGGUUUCAUGUAUCCUCAAUAUACUGAACAGAAAACCAGAUCAAUGCUGCCAUCCAAAUUGCAGCAAUGGUGGAAACAAGUGGUUAUAUAAACUGCUAGGAAAUAAAAAAUAUAUAUGUUAGUUCCAGACAUCCUAAUUGUCUUCAAAAAUUGAUUUAAGCGUUGGAGGAAAUGGAGGUAAUUGGAAAGUCAGGUUUUAACAUUUCGAGUUUUAGGCUAUUAUAGGUUUUGUGUUUUAAAGUGCUGCUUGUAAUGAGUAGUUUUGGGGAAACAUUAGGUUACCUGGGUUUAAUGCCAUCUGAUACAGAAAUGAUUGCAAAGCAGCAAACGUACUUGGAGAGGCUAAUGUGUUCCAUUUCAUUUAUUUACCAAAAUGAAUUUCAUUAGAGUUAUAUUUGGUAACCUUCACUUGUUAUUUUUUAUUGUGUGAACUGUUUCCAUGAUUGGGGUCUUCUAAGAAGAAUAGACUUUUACAUUUGAAAGCUUUGUUUUUCAAGACCUUAUUUUGAAGUGAUAAUCCCCCCACUUGGCAGCUGUUCUACUUAUCUGUCAAAUAGCCCCUAGGGUGUUAUGCCUUUUCGGUAUUUGAAGGUUUAUCUUGAAGAUAGGUACAGAAAGACAGUCUUUCUUAGUAGAUUUCUGAGGUUUCUUUGUAAGGUUCUUUGGCAAUUCAUUCUUAACUUUGAACCACAAAGAGAAUUAUAGAAAUCCCAUGUACAACAGUGGUUAUUUACAUAAAACUUUCUAUAGAAUGAUGAUUUUGUUAGCACCAUUAUAAAAACAUGAUAAAUUGCAUUUACCUCUGCAGAAUUCUGAAAAUACUUACUAUUCCAGAUAUUAAAAAAAAACUCCAUAGAAAUUUUAAAUGUGUUUUACAUGGAAUUAUCCUUGAAGCAAAUGUCACAUGUUUCAGCACAUUUUUUGACCAAUAAGGAUAUAUUCACUGUGUUCAUUUUCAGAAAUAUAUUUGAUAUUUAUAAUACUAUAUUUAAAGUUUGACUGAUAAGUUUAUAUUAGCCUUCCUAAAUCCAUAUAAUGUUAGUUUUUACUUUGGUGAUUUGUUGUAAAAUUAAUAGUUUUUAAAAGUAAAACCAGUAUCAACCUGAAAAAACUUAGUGUAUUUUCUAAUAAUCACCACAAACUCAAUAAUAUAAUCGCACUGUAAGAGCCUUAAUAGGUCUUGGAUUUUUUUUGAAGACAGUAUAUAUAUUUUAAUAUCAAUGUAUUUAAUUUAAAUUUCAGAGCUUUUCAAUGAAUUUAAAAACUUAAGUUGAUACCUCUGUAGUAAGAGCAAAUGAAGAAAUGAAUGUGCUUUCUUUGUUAAAAUUGUGAGAGAAUAUAUAUUUUCUAUAGACACAUAUAUUAUUUAGUGCCAUUUUUAUGGACACAUAGAAGCAAUUUGCUCAGAAUCAAAGCCUCUCUUUCAUUGAUAUGUCAAUUUGGUACACUAUCCAUAAAGAAGUAAGU